AGGGGUCUGGGAAGUCGGGUGCUCUGUGAGCUGUAGAAGCAGCCCGCUUGCGGCUCCUGACUGCCGGCUGUCGCCCUUCUGGUUCUGCCGUAGGGUCUUGCGUUAGCUUCUGGAUCUUGAGAGGGACUAAAGCAUUGAAGCAGCAGGGACUGAGGCUGGGGGCGCCUUAUAGACCUUUGUCUGAGGGGCAGGCUCUAACCCUGCGGCAGUAUUUUGGCCUCUAGCCUGCUUUCCGUUCUUUUAUUCUCCCUCUUCUCGCCCCUCCCCCCAUACUCUCUUUACUCAGUAUCUCUCUGGCCUUCACGAAAGGAAACACGGCAAGAUGAGGUCUGCGAACGGGCGCUGGGUAACCAGAUAUGUGAACCAGGAAGGGCUGAAAACCCAGUUAGUGUUACCACAAAGCCUCCUGUGGGCACACGUGAUCUUUGGUUCUGUCAUUACUUCAGUGCAGUCAGGCAACGGCAGGAAGAGCUUCCUCAAGGCUUUGUAAAAGUCGUCUCUCUUUUAGUUGGCUAAAGGACUUUGAAUCCGAAAGCUGUCACUGGAUUAGAGGGCGGAGCCUUCGAGCCACUGAGGCAACCCCACAGCAGUCAGGAGGUGGGGUAAGGUCUUGGCUUUACUGGCGUUAAUCAUCAUCCACAAUGCCUGGUUUGAGGAUGAGAAAACUGAGGUCAGAAAGAUAAACUGAUAGGCCCAUUCUAGAAGUGCCAGUAUCCUGAUGUCCAGGGUGACAGUAUGUGCAGUUAAAAGUAUUUACCCAGACUCCUGUAAGCCAUGGUUGGCAAGGUGACCCUCCAAUGAAAUGAAAGUGGAUGUUGCCAGGAGAGGCUCAAAGCUUUAUGGAAGAAAUGUCCUUUUAGUCAUGACCUGUACUCAUCCUUUUUCUUACCUGGAACAAUGAGAUGAAGCUGGAGGUGGAGCAGCCAUAUUUCAACCAUAAUUACAAAAGCCACGCACACUGUUAAUAGUGUGGGAAGCCAGAGGUGCCUGGGUUCAUGAUUGCUUUGGAGGGCCAGCUUACCAGCUCUGGACAGCCUGUUUCUGGAUUUGUUUUUACGUGAGGAAAAAUAAAUCCCUCCU